rnacentral:tRNA from 1 species
CCCCUUGUAGCUCAGUGGUCGAGCGUUGGCUUUGGAAGCCACAGGUCGGUGGUUCGAGCCCACCAGGGCA